rnacentral:rRNA from 1 species
UACGUAGGGGGCUAGCGUUGUCCGGAUUUAUUGGGCGUAAAGAGCGUGUAGGCGGCUAUACAGGUCCGCUGUGAAAACUCGAGGCUCAACCUCGAGACGUCGGUGGAAACCGUUUGGCUAGAGUCCGGAAGAGGAGAGUGGAAUUCCCGGUGUAGCGGUGAAAUGCGCAGAUAUCGGGAAGAACACCCGUGGCGAAGGCGGCUCUCUGGGACGGUACUGACGCUGAGACGCGAAAGCGUGGGGAGCGAACAGG